rnacentral:rRNA from 1 species
CGUAUGGUGCAAGCGUUAUCCGGAUUUACUGGGUGCAAAGGGAGCGCAGGCGGUGCGGCAAGUCUGAUGUGAAAGCCCGGGGCUCAACCCCGGUACUGCAUUGGAAACUGUCGUACUAGAGUGUCGGAGGGGUAAGUGGAAUUCCUAGUGUAGCGGUGAAAUGCGUAGAUAUUAGGAGGAACACCAGUGGCGAAGGCGGCUUACUGGACGAUAACUGACGCUGAGGCUCGAAAGCGUGGGGAGCAAACAGGAUU